GAAUUCUUUGCUAAACUGGGGCCUAAGUCAGUGUGAUCUUAGGGUGGAACGCAAAUAACUGCUCUUGGAGGAAGAAGAACGGGCACAAGAACGGAGCCAAAGGUUCUCCUGUGGUGACGGGCUGGGCCGAGCAGCAAGAGCCUGAGCAAAUGGGAAAACAACGUGAUCCGAGAGAAGGAAGGAUUGUAUGACUGGCUCCGUGGCUACGGCUUGGGAGGAGGAAUUUCCUCGUGGGAACAUUGCCAGGAGGCGUGCUCCAAGACUGCACUUUAAGAAAUGCCCCGAGGAACAGAGCCACGGGAGUCAUCAGCUCAUUUACUGGACUGUUCUGAGCCCUACACGGUGCCUUAGGAAAUAACCUCUCUUCCUGGAAAUCCACGGCUAGCUGCAAAACGCGCCGACUGAGCUGGGGUGUUUCCCAAAUGAAGGCAAGUUCCCGAGCCGUGUUGUCGGAUGCCAGUCCGAUGAGCACGUGCCUGAAUGCUCUGCUGAACCUCUGUCUCCCAAAGGACCUCUCAGCUAAACACCUGGUAGCUGCUGGAGCUUAUAGCGCUGAGGAUCCUCAUGGGACAGAUCCUUCAUAACCCACUUAAAAAUCAAAAUAUAAGGAAGUCAGUUCCUGCUGGUAUUGGUUUUACCUGCCCUUGCUAAAACAUCAUCUUCAGUUUCCAAACUCGCUGCUGCCUUUCUUAGGACCAGAAUGAUAACCAGGCUCAUCGGGCUGGAGGAUUGCUCAUGGACAGAAGUUGAAGUGUGUGUUUCCAAUCUAGAGGAGCAAUACCGAGUCAGUCCUCUCUGCAGCACAGCUCCAGGUUGUCUCACCCACCUGUAUGAACCUGGUUUUCUCACCCAGUUUAUAUAUUAAGAGCUACAGGGACAUUCUUACUGGUAACCCUCAUAAAGUGCCCUGCCCAGGGGGGCUGAUGGACCUCCUUGUACCAACUGAAUACGCACAGAAAGACCUUGCCAUUGCCAGGCAAAUUAACGGGUAGAAAGACACAACAUGUGCAUUAAAUCAUAUUGAGCAGUCCAAAGGAUCAAUUGCCCUGUUCACAUAAGGGAUGGUGGAGAAAAAGAAGCUUUCGAAGGGUUUAAGUUUCGGGCCCGUCACUUUGCUGUGCGUCUGGCCCUCCCACACCGCCUGGCAGACAAAUCUCUCAGACGGGGACUCUGUGCUCGGAGCCCUCCGCUGCCGCUUGCCCUCCGCAGACAGACACGCGCGUGUGUGAGUGCCACACGUCACCAGCCUGCGCUUCCCAGCAAAUUAGCAGAAACAGCACGGCAUUACAUUUGCUGGGAUCUACCUGUCAGUCAAGGAGACUCCUAUGGUCCUUCCUGAUACCAGGAUCGCAACCGUCCACUAUUUGCUACUAAAACUUGAGUCUCUGCCCACGAAGACUGAUGGAGGCAUCCAGCUGGUAACGUCUCACACCCGGACCCGGGGCUUGGCCUCCCCCCUGCCUGGAGUGGCUGCAGCAGCAGCCAGCAGCGGGGGAGCUAGACCAUAAAAAGCGCACUAAAUAAACCCAAUCUUAGCACCAAGGUUGAUACAAAAAGCCAUAAAAAGCAGGGACAAUAAAAAAGAAAAAUGCACGGCAGCAUCAAAUCCGAGACGCUGACAUGAAAGGAUUCUGUUUGAAAAAGCCUGCCCAAAAUUCUCUCUCCUGAAGGUGAUCGCCACGUCCUGUCCUAGCAGGAUUACUGCUUGCACACACAUGCAUACGUCAGCUUGUAUUCAUAGCCCUAAAAUGUUCCUGUCAGUUGUACGCUCCACAAAUACCAGCAAGAUCUGAGAUUCUGCUUCCCCCUCGCCCCAGCCCACCCCUGGUGUUGCUGCAUCUGCUCGUUUCAUCUAUCAUUGCUCCCGUCCCCGUCUUCGCCUGAGCAUAUGUUGCAGGAGGAGAAAUAUAAUUAAGUUUGGAAAAUUCAUCUCGAGGUAACCAGAUGUCUUGCACCACCUUCAACAUAUUUCCCACACCUUAAUUAGUGGAGGGAAAGUCACUGCCCGUGGCUGAGCGGCGCUGACGGCAGCGGGGGCGGCCGGCAGCCCCUGCCUCGCCGCAGAGCAGACAGGCUUCACCCUCCGACGCGGGGAAGCAUCCUCGCCGGGAACGCAUCCUGCCAAGGCUUUCGGAGCGCUGCCGUGGGUUUGGAGAGGACUCAGCUUCUGGCGCUCAUCACCUGUACACGUCCUGAUUGCCUACACGCAUGCUUGAGCUGUGACUUCCCUUUGUUUUGCUUCAGGGCUGCGUGCUUGAUUUAUUACAGUCAGACAAGUGUGGUUAUGCGUUCGAACACUGAAUCUGCGUCGUUAAUUUGGGUCGUUACUUCUGGAUGCUUGCUGGGUACCUUGGUGCCGGAUGGGCAGUCAUACAGCUGUGCUCGGGCAAUGCAGUCGCAGGAGCUGCAUGCACUAGAUCAGGAUUAGCUGUGUGCCUACAACACAGACAUCCACCAAUAACCUGUGAAAAUGACCUUUCUAGAUUGCUGGUUUACAAGAAAUGCCUUGUUAUUCUGUAAAAAGUUGCAGGAGAUGCCAGCCUGCCAGUCAGGACCAGAUAUUUCCAGAGCAGCAGUUUGCACGGAGCAGCGGGGCUAGUUUAGCGCUCUGCAAAAAUCGUUCCUUCCUCUGCCAAAGCCUUAAACCCCUCUGACAGCCUUGAGGUGAACUCCUGGCCUGCGGAGAGGGACGGGAUUGUGUGUAGGGGUCGGAGCGAUGCUGGGAAGCCUGGAGAUGGUGGGAGCAGCUGGGAGAAGUGCUGCUGGGAGGAUGCUGGACGCUGCCCAGGUCACUCCUGUCAGCGCAGAGGGAUGCUCGCUCCAGGGGAGGGUUUUCCUUUUUCCUAUCUAUGUCCAUGCUGUGUGCCUGCUGUCUAGGGAACUGAACACCGGCUAUUUCUGUACCCCCGUCAGCAGCCAGGAGCGAUGGGGUAUCCCUUUCCCAGCCCCGCUUCCACCCCCAGGGCCAGGUGUCCUCCUCCCGUCCCAGCCUGGCGCUGGGUCCCUGCCAGAGGCCCCGGUGCCAAUGGAGGGGUGACGCAGCACCGGUCUCCCUUGCAGGAGCGGGGAGGGACGGGGGAGGGACUCUGAACUCUUCUCUGACUUGUGCCCUUAUCACCCCCCAGCUCCCUCCUGUCUGCACGAUCCUGCUGCGUUCCUGCCGGGAGAACCACGCUGGUGUUGCAUUUGCCGCAGGGAUGUGUCUUCCCUUGCCGAGAGCACCCCGGAGUUUGCCAAGCUCACACCUCAGCUGCGCAAACCCCAAAGCAACACCCCAAAACCUGACAUGACAUCCCAUUUCUGCAUCAUCAGCUGCGUUUGGAAACGGCUGAGAUGGACCCACCGCAGUCUCCGUUUCCAUCAGAAACAGCCGUGCCCAUCCCAGGAGCAGCAAAGCCGUGCCGGGGCAGUCAGAGGGAUGCAGGUUCUGCCCUGGGACUGGGCUCUGGUUCUGGGCUCAGCUUCCCUGGCUGGGUUUCAGCUGCCGGCCAAGCGGAGCGGUACCCGUCCCCCUGCACCCUCCGAGCCGCCUCGGUGUGUCCCACGGGGACAAAAAUACCUCCCCAGCUGCUGCCCACCUGGUGCCUGAGACGAGUUUAGGAAACAGCAAUCAGAAACUGAAAAUAAAAGGCUGAAAAGAGAUAGAUACAGGGCUCGCACCAGAAGUGAGAGAGUUAAAAAUAGAGGUGAUACGAUC